UUGCAAAUCCCUAGAACAACAGGCGGUUUGCUCAGACAUGAAAAGAUGGAUACACAGUAAGUAGGAGGAGGCAGUUCAGGUAUCUUUGUAAGAUUUUUGGAUUCAAGUGAAAGAUUCUCCAAUGCUGUUGCAGAAGCCCUCUGGAUGUUAUCUUGACUGUUGGAUUGAAGGAGAUCAAGGAAAAGUGAAGGAAGAUUUUUCUCACAGCAGAACAAAGUGGCGUCAGUCUCCUUGGUGAGUGCGAAGGUGAUCCGAGCGAGAAUACUAACAAGUCCUUCGAGAAAUGUUCUCUCGAACCGGAUUCCUCUGAUUUCUCCUUGGCGAAUACCAACUAUCUUGGAGAUGAUUUUGUUCUCAUGUAUCUCAACAAACUGAACCAAGCUUAUGAUGGCAGCUGAGUUUCUGAUGGCAGAAACAACAUUAAUAACCGAGUUUGGACAGCUAGUGAGUCCAACAAGAACCGCCAACAGCUUUCCUUGGAUUUCUGGACCAGUGUUGCUUGUUAGUUGGAGAAGGUUCUCCACUAUUUCCUCUGAAACAAGAGUUUGGUGAUGAGGUCCAACAGGAACUUUGUCGAAGUCGUACCCAAUGUUCACUAUAUUGGCAAGAAUAGUUGCAGAGACUUCUUUAAGUCGGAUUGGAAGCUGGUUUGGCCCAACAUAGAACAAGUCUUUGAUAAGCGGUGGGAGAAUUCCGGUGUUGAUUAAGAGUUUAGCACUCCCUUCAAAGGAUGAGAUGUUGUUAAGAGCUCCCAAAGCAGCUUCCCGUUGGCUCAUGUCGCGAGUUCUCAUAAGAUCGAUAAGAGAAGAACCCACAGUCUGAGCCACAAUAACUUUCACAUCGUUAUUUAAAGCAAGAACCCCAAGAUAGAAAGCCAUGGAAACUUUUGUUUCCGGUGAACCUGUAGAUGCAGACUUCAAGAAGUUUAGCAAGAAGAGGCUGCAGUCUACCAUUGAUAGCCAUCUGUCGAACAUUUUCCUCUGACCUCUCCAAAUUUGUCAAAGUUUUAUCAGCUUUCUCAACAGUUGAAACAUUCUCUGAUUUGCUGCUUGUCAGACCAACCAAUAAGAUGAUUGCUCCAUGGAUUGAUCCAAUCUUCUCGCAUAAUGCUUCAGAUUUAGAGAGCUCAAACAACACGGAAACAGCUGCUUCCCUCCCCUUUGAUGGCUCUUGAGACAAGAACUUAACUAUAGUACGCACAGUGUCUCCUUCAGCUACUAUUGCCUGAAACACACUAAAACUCCUUCAACGACUACUUGAAGAGUUUGUAGAGCCUUACACCGCACUUCAUGACUACUACUCUUUAGCAUAUCGGUAAUCAACCGAACAAGCUGAGGAUUGCACACACGUUGCCUAAUUUUACGUAUAUUCCUACAAAUCUCUCUGACAUUCUUCAAAGCCAGCAAAAUAUUAGUCUCAGCAUUUCCCAAAUAAAGUGACUGACGAGCAAUAUCAAGCUUCAAAGCAUCAUUCCUUGCUCUCCACUCUUCAAUAGUGUUACGUAAAGCUAUACUUGGACUUAGAUCAGUGAUACUCAACUCCUUAGAAGUUAUAGGACAAGAUAGAGGUUGACCGUUUUCACGACAUUCUUGAAACCAUUUCUCAAUAGCUUCACGCUCAAAUGUCUGACCAUUCUCUAAAGUGACAGGAUUAUGCAUAACUUGCUUUGUCAAUGGACAGAUAAAAGCUUCGUAUAUGUUAUCAAUCCCUGGCUCGAAUUGUGAGCUGUUAUCCGAUUGGCUUCCAUCCCAACUUCCACUUCCAGCCAUCUGAUGAAUUGAUUCUUCUACACCAUAGAAGCCCUGAAGAAGCUGUCUUAACCAAGAACAAAGGUCUUUAGCUUCUUCUUCUGCUAGCUUGAGAAAUUGAGAACGAUCUCUGGUUAAAUUCAAAACCUUUGAAAAGAAAACGGGUGAAAUCGAGUCAAAUCCAUGUAACACAACAUCGGUGUAGUCAAGUAUGAAUCCGCCAGAGAUAUUUUUGUGCCUGAAUCGAGACCGGAGGAAGAAAGAUGGAAACUAGAAGAGAGUUUCAGUCAUCUAAGCAAAAGAUGGGAAAGAAAAAACACACACCGACAAAAAAUAGAAAAUAGACAUAUACCAAAAAGCUUUGACAAUUAUUGAGAAGUCGUCAUGGGAAAACACAUGUGAACACCGAGACUACCCAAAAUAAAACGUUUUUUGUGUCAUUUUAAA
rnacentral:lncRNA from 1 species